AUUGAACGCUGGCGGCAUGCCUUACACAUGCAAGUCGAACGGUAACAGGUCUUCGGAUGCUGACGAGUGGCGAACGGGUGAGUAAUACAUCGGAACGUGCCCAGACGUGGGGGGUAACGAGGCGAAAGCUUUGCUAAUACCGCAUACGAUCUAAGGUUGAAAGCCGGGGACCGCAAGGCCUUGUGCGUUUGGAGCGGCCGAUGGCAGAUUAGGUAGUUGGUGGGAUAAAAGCUUACCAAGCCGACGAUCUGUAGCUGGUCUGAGAGGACGACCAGCCACACUGGGACUGAGACACGGCCCAGACUCCUACGGGAGGCAGCAGUGGGGAAUUUUGGACAAUGGGCGAAAGCCUGAUCCAGCAAUGCCGCGUGCAGGAUGAAGGCCUUCGGGUUGUAAACUGCUUUUGUACGGAACGAAAAGGCUCUGGCUAAUACCUGGGGCACAUGACGGUACCGAAAGAAUAAGCACCGGCUAACUACGUG
rnacentral:rRNA from 1 species